rnacentral:rRNA from 1 species
CCGUGAAUCUGGGCGGCGGAAUUCAGGAUGGCUGGCGCGUCUUCGCGGCGCGUCGGCCGUUUGAUAUUUCCGUCGCCGAUCACCCGCAGACGUCGCGACCUGUUCGCGGUCGGUCCCUGCUCGGAGGAGCCGCGUUCGAGUUCGUUGCGUGCGCGUUUCGGCGUGUCACGCGGCGAAGGCGCGGAUCUCUGGCUGGCCGUCGGACAGUAUGCUCAGCGGUGUCCGGUGUCGUCGUCUCGUACGCGCGUGCACCGGUACCGGUCAGCGACGAAUUCUUCGGGCCUCUUUCC